rnacentral:rRNA from 1 species
UACGAAGGGGCGUAGCGUUGUUCGGAAUCACUGGGCGUAAAGCGCACGUAGGCGGACUUUCAAGUCAGGGGUGAAAUCCCGGGGCUCAACCUCGGAACUGCCUUUGAUACUGUUGGUCUUGAGUCCGGAAGAGGUGGGUGGAAUUCCUAGUGUAGAGGUGAAAUUCGUAGAUAUUAGGAAGAACACCGGUGGCGAAGGCGGCCCACUGGUCCGGUACUGACGCUGAGGUGCG